GACGAACGCUGGCGGCGUGCUUAACACAUGCAAGUCGAACGGAAAGGCCCUGCUUUUGUGGGGUGCUCGAGUGGCGAACGGGUGAGUAACACGUGAGUAACCUGCCCUUGACUUUGGGAUAACUUCAGGAAACUGGGGCUAAUACCGGAUAGGAGCUCCUGCUGCAUGGUGGGGGUUGGAAAGUUUCGGCGGUUGGGGAUGGACUCGCGGCUCAUCAGCUUGUUGGUGGGGUAGUGGCUUACCAAGGCUUUGACGGGUAGCCGGCCUGAGAGGGUGACCGGCCACAUUGGGACUGAGAUACGGCCCAGACGCCUACGGGAGGCAGCAGUGGGGAAUAUUGCACAAUGGGCGGAAGCCUGAUGCAGCAACGCCGCGUGCGGGAUGACGGCCUUCGGGUUGUAAACCGAUUUCGCCUGUGACGAAGCGUGAGUGACGGUAAUGGGUAAAGAAGCACCGGCUAACUACGUG
rnacentral:rRNA from 1 species